GUCCACGCCCUAAACGAUGUCAACUGGUUGUUGGGUCUUUACUGACUCAGUAACGAAGCUAACGCGUGAAGUUGACCGCCUGGGGAGUACGGCCGCAAGGUUGAAACUCAAAGGAAUUGACGGGACCCGCACAAGCGGUGGAUGAUGUGGUUUAAUUCGAUGCAACGCGAAACCUUACCCACCUUUGACAUGUACGGAACCCUUUAGAGAUAGAGGGGUGCUCGAAAGAGAGCCGUAACACAGGUGCUGCAUGGCUGUCGU
rnacentral:rRNA from 1 species